rnacentral:rRNA from 1 species
AGCGAACGUUUGCGGCGGGCCUAACACAUGCAAGUCGAACGGGCAGUCCCUUCGGGGGCGUGUCAGUGGCGCACGGGUGGCGUAACGCGUGGGAACCUGCCCCUCCGGUUCGGAAUAACAGUUAGAAAUGACUGCUAAUACCGGAUGAUGACUUCGGUCCAAAGAUUUAUCGCCGAGGGAUGGGCCCGCGUAGGAUUAGCUAGUUGGUGGGGUAAAGGCCUACCAAGGCGACGAUCCUUAGCUGGUCUGAGAGGAUGAUCAGCCACACUGGGACUGAGACACGGCCCAGACUCCUACGGGAGGCAGCAGUGAGGAAUAUUGCGCAAUGGGCGAAAGCCUGACGCAGCGACGCCGCGUGGGGGACGAAGGUUUUCGGAUUGUAACCCUUUCAUGAGGAAAGAUAAAGUGGGUAACCACUUAGACGGUACCUCAAGAAGAAGCCACGGCUAACUUCGUG